UACAGAGGUCCCAAGCGUUGUUCGGAUUCACUGGGCGUAAAGGGUGCGUAGGCGGUCGGGUAAGUCUGAUGUGAAAGCUCGGAGCUUAACUCCGAAAUGGCAUUGGAUACUAUUCGGCUCGAGGAGUGGAGGGGAGACUGGAAUUCUCGGUGUAGCAGUGAAAUGCGUAGAUAUCGAGAGGAACACCAGUGGCGAAGGCGAGUCUCUGGACACUUCCUGACGCU
rnacentral:rRNA from 1 species